AUUGAACGCUGGCGGCAGGCUUAACACAUGCAAGUCGAACGAGCGGCGGACGGGUGAGUAAUGUUUGGGAAUCUAGCUUAUGGAGGGGGAUAACUACUGGAAACUGUAGCUAAUACCGCAUACUAUCGGAUGAGCCCAAGUGGGAUUAGGUAGUUGGUGGGGUAAAGGCUCACCAAGCCGACGAUCUCUAGCUGGUCUGAGAGGAUGACCAGCCACACUGGGACUGAGACACGGCCCAGACUCCUACGGGAGGCAGCAGUGGGGAAUAUUGCGCAAUGGGGGCAACCUGACGCAGCCAUGCCGCGUGAAUGAAGAAGGCCUUCGGGUUGUAAAGUUCUUUCAGUAGCGAGGCGUUAACUACAGAAGAAGCACCGGCUAACUCCGUGCCAGCAGCCGCGGUAAUAC
rnacentral:rRNA from 1 species